rnacentral:rRNA from 1 species
AGAAUCAACGCUGGCGGCGUGCCUAACACAUGCAAGUCGAACGAGAAAGUGGAGCAAUCCAUUAGUAAAGUGGCGCACGGGUGAGUAACACGUGACUAACCUACCUUUUAGUGGGGGAUAACCUAGGGAAACCUGGGCUAAUACCGCAUAAUACCUACGGGUCAAAGCAGCAAUGCGCUGAAAGAGGGGGUCGCGGUCGAUUAGUUAGUUGGCAGGGUAAUGGCCUACCAAGACUGUGAUCGAUAUCCGGCCUGAGAGGGCGCACGGACACACUGGAACUGAAACACGGUCCAGACUCCUACGGGAGGCAGCAGUGGGGAAUUUGCGCAAUGGGGGAAACCCUGACGCAGCAACGCCGCGUGGAGGAUGAAGUCCCUUGGGACGUAAACUCCUUUCGAUCGGGACGAUAAUGACGGUACCGGAAGAAGAAGCCCGGCUAACUUCGUGCCAGCAGCCGC